UUGUAAGAACAACUCGACAGGUUAAACAGCUGAGGAAAGGACUGAAAGAGACAUUGGUCUGGCCUCUCCUGAAGGAAAGAAGUGAUAUUAUUCCACUGAUGUUUCCAAGGGCCUCUGACACACUAUACACCUCCCAGAUGAUCCUUGAAAGACUCACCUGGCCCACACUGAAUGUGGCGGAAGAUGAUGAUGAUGAUGAUGAUGAUGAUGAUGAUGACUGUUCUCUUGAGACUAAAUGCCGUAUCACAGGCUUCUUCAGGACAUUCAUUGAGAUGCAUCACCAAGAGCGCUGAUUGAUCUCCUCAGAUUCUGGGUUGGAUGGGAGGUCCUCCCGAAGGAGCUGUCUGUUGAGGUCACAGAUACCAAACUGCCCAAAGCAUCCACCUGCUUCGAAACCAUUAAAUUACCCAGACACGACUUUCACUACUCAUCAUUUGAGGAGGAUCUUCUUUCCUGUAUACGUACUGUGGACACUGGCUUUGGACUUGUCUAAUUUAGAAUUCUGCCAUGAGAAAUCUGUUUGAACUCCUUCAGGGGCCAAUUAAAAUACACAACAUAUUUGAUUUGACAACUAGAAAUAUAAACAUGACAAAGUAAAAAAAAAUGUUCUGCUAUAUUAUUAUUAUUAUUAUUAUUAUUAUUUAUUUCUUAGCAGAUGCCAUUAUCCAGGGCGACUUACAGUUGUAAACAAAAAUACAUUUAAGGAAUCACAGUACAAGUAAUAAUACAAUUAUGUAAAUACUAAAUGUACUAAGAAAGAAAUUCAAAUGAACGACUGGCAAUUUUAUUAGGCCAUUUUAUUAUUUUGAUUACAAUAAAUAAUGCACUGAUUCUCAAAAUGUUUCUUUUUUUGGGGGGGGGGAACAACACUUUUUUUUUCUUUUAAAAUACUUGCUUAUGUUUGUGAAAACAUCUGUUAAAUAUCAACAUAAGCACAGGUACUAUUGUCAUUUAUUUAACAAAGUCAGUGCUAUGCAGACUCAGUGACAAAAAAUACAGCUGUCCCAAACAAUAAAAACAAUCGUCAAA